UACGGAAGGCAGCAGUGGGGAAUAUUGCACAAUGGGCGCAAGCCUGAUGCAGCCAUGCCGCGUGUAUGAAAAAGGCCUUCGGGUUGUAAAGUACUUUCAGUCGUGAGGAAGGUGUUAAGGUUAAUAACCUUAGCAAUUGACGUUAGCGACAGAAGAAGCACCGGCUAACUCCGUGCCAGCAGCCGCGGUAAUACGGAGGGUGCGAGCGUUAAUCGGAAUUACUGGGCGUAAAGGGCACGCAGGCGGUUAAUUAAGUUGGAUGUGAAAUCCCCGGGCUUAACCUGGGAAUGGCAUUCAAGACUGGUUAGCUAGAGUCUUGUAGAGGGGGUAGAAUUCCAUGUGUAGCGGUGAAAUGCGUAGAGAUGUGGAGGAAUACCGGUGGCGAAGGCGGCCCCUGGACAAAGACUGACGCUCAUGUGCGAAAGCGUGGGGAGCAAACGAGGGAUUGGAUACC
rnacentral:rRNA from 1 species